AGCGAACGCUGGCGGCAGGCCUAACACAUGCAAGUCGAACGAACUCUUCGGAGUUAGUGGCGGACGGGUGAGUAACACGUGGGAACGUGCCUUUUGGUUCGGAAUAACUCAGGGAAACUUGUGCUAAUACCGAAUGUGCCCUUCGGGGGAAAGAUUUAUCGCCAUUAGAGCGGCCCGCGUCUGAUUAGCUAGUUGGUGAGGUAACGGCUCACCAAGGCGACGAUCAGUAGCUGGUCUGAGAGGAUGACCAGCCACACUGGGACUGAGACACGGCCCAGACUCCUACGGGAGGCAGCAGUGGGGAAUCUUGCGCAAUGGGCGAAAGCCUGACGCAGCCAUGCCGCGUGAAUGAUGAAGGUCUUAGGAUUGUAAAGUUCUUUCACCGGGGACGAUAAUGACGGUACCCGGAGAAGAAGCCCCGGCUAACUUCGUG
rnacentral:rRNA from 1 species